ACCGCCGGAAGCCCAGCCCCGCGAAGAAAGUCCCACGCACCGCCAGUGCGGGCAGGGGGCCCCAAGGGGGUCGCGGAGAUGGCGGAGGCGUGGUGUCGUUGUUCGACCCCGAGACCGCCGGGGCCUCGACCCGCGAGGUCGGCGACCAUCUGGAGACGCCGCGGAGGGCCGAGCGGGGGCGGGGGCGCUGAGGGCCCGCGGGUACUCACGGCGGCGGGUUGGAAAAAUUACAGGGUGCGCAGGCGGCCUCGGCUCUACGAACAACCAGCUGGGCGUUUAAAGCCUUAAGUAACGACGAAAUCAGACGCGUGGGAGCAUUUUUCUUCUAAACAGUAAAGGUCAUCAUUCGGAGUCAAGAAGCACUAGUAUGAUUGUUGCACAAGGAACAAACUUGACGUAUUUGGGGAUCCAAAUAACCAAAAAGUUUGUAGAAUAAAACCUGAAGUUACUUAAGCAUUGAGUAUAAUAAAGCUUAUUACUAAAAUCAA